rnacentral:rRNA from 1 species
CAGUAGCCGCGGUAAUACAGAGGGUGCGAGCGUUAAUCGGAUUUACUGGGCGUAAAGCGUGCGUAGGCGGCUUCUUAAGUCGGAUGUGAAAUCCCUGAGCUUAACUUAGGAAUUGCAUUCGAUACUGGGAAGCUAGAGUAUGGGAGAGGAUGGUAGAAUUCCAGGUGUAGCGGUGAAAUGCGUAGAGAUCUGGAGGAAUACCGAUGGCGAAGGCAGCCAUCUGGCCUAAUACUGACGCUGAGGUACGAAAGCAUGGGGAGCAAACAGGAUUAGAUACCCCCGUAGUCCCUGUCUCUUUACA